GCUGGGAUAGCUCAGUCGGUAGAUCUGAGUUCAGGUCGUGGGUUCAAGCCCCACAUUGGGCA
rnacentral:tRNA from 1 species